rnacentral:sRNA from 1 species
GUGAGACUCCCAUCUCAAAAAACAAACAAACAAAAAACUAGGGGAAGACUGCAAAAGAAAAGAAAACAGAAAAAAGGGAAACAAAGAUUUGGAAAAAUGAAAACUCCCAACAGAAUAGCCCAGGACAAGAAAUGCACUGAUGGGUAAUGUCCUCCCUAUAGUAGAUGAAAGUCUCUACUGCCUUCCCUUAAUGGUUGUUCCUUGGCUCUGCUGACAAGUCGGGAGCCAGGGUAUGAACUUGGUGGGUGGCAACACAUCUGCUGACCUCGGGUCUGCUGGGAAGAAUACAGGGCAGGACCUAUGUUUGGUGUCAGAAUCAUCUGGAGGUUGCAGUCCAUGAGCUGAGAAAGGAGGCAGUGCUCUUGGGAGAAACAACAGAGGCCUCAAGUUUCAGGCUGAAGCCAACAGAGUCCCAACCAGUGGGCAUAUCCCAAGAUGAAGAAUUUUGGAAUACAUACCAGGGUCUGCAAGAACAGCUCA